UUGACAGCCCAGGAUAUUUAAAUUCUCUUUUUAUGUUCAAAUCGGGUACAGCAGAGGCCCUGGUAAUGAUAGCUGUCUCCAGCAGUGCCUCACCAGCGUCUCUCAACCCUGAUCUGCAGGAACCACCUGGAGGGUUGAAAGACCGUAUCGGCCCCGUGAUCCAUUCAAGCUUCCAGCCCCC
ensembl:misc_RNA